rnacentral:rRNA from 1 species
UGCAAGUCGAGCGGACAGAUGGGAGCUUGCUCCCUGAUGUUAGCGGCGGACGGGUGAGUAACACGUGGGUAACCUGCCUGUAAGACUGGGAUAACUCCGGGAAACCGGGGCUAAUACCGGAUGCUUGAUUGAACCGCAUGGUUCAAUUAUAAAAGGUGGCUUUUAGCUACCACUUACAGAUGGACCCGCGGCGCAUUAGCUAGUUGGUGAGGUAACGGCUCACCAAGGCAACGAUGCGUAGCCAACCUGAGAGGGUGAUCGGCCACACUGGGACUGAGACACGGCCCAAACUCCUACGGGAGGCAGCAGUAGGGAAUCUUCCACAAUGGACGAAAGUCUGACGGACCAACGCCGCGGGAGUGAUGAAGGUUUUCGGAUCGUAAAACUCUGUUGUUAGGGAAGAACAAGUACCGUUCGAAUAGGGCGGUACCUUGACGGUACCUAACCAAAAAGCCACGGCUAACUACGUGCCAGCAGCCGCGGUAAUACGUAGGUGGCAAGCGUUGUCCGGAAUUAUGGGGCGUAAAGCGCGCGCAGGCGGUUUCUUAAUUCUGAUGUGAAAGCCCCCGGCUCAACCGGGGAGGGUCAUUGGAAACUGGGGAACUUGAGUGCAAAAA